rnacentral:lncRNA from 1 species
AAGAAGAUGCAAUUAUGUUGAAGAACUGUUUAUCAAUAACCAAUGCUUCAGAGGUAAUGAGGACAUAAGAGAACAAGCCAAGGGAUUUUUCCAACAAUUGUAUGGAGAGAAUGCUGGUAGAAGGCCAUAGUUGUUUAAUUUACAUUUCCAGGAGUUGAGAGAUGUUAGCAAAGUUGAUUUUUUUUUUUUUCGAAAUAAAAAGUAUGAAAU